AUAUUCCCCGGGGCACCGACAAACACUACCAUCAUUCUCUUCUUCUCCUGGGCUUUUUUUUUUUUUUUUUAAGGUGUACGUUUCAUACAAUAAAAUGUACCCAUUUUAAGUUCAUUUUGCUACUUGUACACACUCAUGUAACCAUCACCCCCAUCAGGUUCUAGAACUUUCUCCCUCUGAGUUCUAGAACUUUCUAUAACCCCCCCAAAGUUCCCUUUUGCUGUUGAUAUCCAUCAUCUGCAGCCAACGUUCUCAAGGCCUUUGCUCUUACAUAGGUCUUUCCCACUCGUGUGCCAACCAAGGGAGUGGUAUACCCUCCCUUGACCCCAUGCGCUUUCCCAUCAGAACAAGGUAUGGCCGUCAAGGUGGAGUGAAGUUCAGCAACUUGCUCAAAUUCACGCACCGAAAGACUUGUACUUGACAUUGCCAGGAUCCGCAGCCCCGCGGCUGGACUCCAGAGCCAAGGUCCUCGCUACUAUCCCACCCUACACGGGCGAUGCCGAAACGUGAAACGUCGAGAGGCUGGUGGCCAGAGGUCCCGAGGAAGACCCCGUCCUCACCUGCCGCGCACACCCAUUUGCGGGAGCUCUGCGGGCCAGAAUCAGCUUGAGGCAACCAGAACAUUCCGGAAAUCCAGAGUUAAAUGUAUUUUAUCCCUUGGAAAACAGUGUUUAUCGUGAAGAAGUCGUGACAAGUGUAUUUCAUCCGUGAAUAAAGGCAGUUCGGAGGGAGAGAGAGAAAGCCAGCCAGUCUAUCUCAUGAAUUCAUCGGCGCCUAAAGAAGUCAGCAGAUUCAAAAGGAAAUCGCCAGAAAAAAAUAAACGCUGAAACGUUCCAGGGCACAGCAGAUGAAAUCGAUGUUCCCCGAUUGGCUAACAUGCGACAGGACCGCCGGUCGGGCAGAGAAGGAGCCCCGGACGUGCAGGUGGGAAAGGUCUCGAUCGCGGGGUCAGUCACAGAGGUGCCUGGAUUUCGCUGGUAUCGAAAAAGAUGACCGGGGGCCAACUCACAUAUGGUCCCUAAAGAUUUGCCUGCAGCAAAUCAAAGUGGGGUUCCUAACACGGGCGACCAAAUCCGCCACGCAAACGCGGGAAACGUGGGGGUGUUCAGGAGCAUUGGCGUGCCCAUCGGUUGUGCUCUGUGAUGCCAAGGCCUCUGCAGAAAAACGCAAAAACCCGUGGACGCGCUUCCACGACGCUCCGUUCCUUGUUCCGCGCCACCCAUGCAUCUGUCGCAAGACUGGCGAUCGCCCCAAACACAUGUAACCAGAGCAGCGAGGCAGUAUCGGGGACACGGAGUGGUUCGCUCCAGUCACAUCGGGCCGCGCGUCAGCAGGCUUUAUCUGCCGCGAUUUGAGCGGCUUGCAAAGAUUAUUGAAACCGGGGAAGCAGCAUUAAGCGAUUAUCAGACACACAGGUGGCCCAUGAAUUGAGAAUUCCUUUACACGUGCUAAAUGUUAUAGGGGUUUUUUUCUUCCCCGACGAGCUUCAAAGUGAAACUGUAGACAUGUUUUCAUUGCCUUCUGAAGUAAAAGCAAUCUUUAGCAUCUCAGAGAAAUGAUGACUAUUUCAAAACCAUUUGGUAGACAGCAAAGGAAACUCGCCAGAGACGAAUCUCAGGGGGAGGGGGCGGGGGG